UUAUGGAAGAGAUGUUCCAUUCUAACCUAACUUGAAACUUCUUUCAUUAAUAUCUCAUCACGCCUGCAAUAUUUUCUAAAUUGAAACGCAUUUUUCUGAUGUAAAUCGCAUAUAAGCUUUCGAAUAAAACCAAAAUCAAUCAAAUCGUCGUUUUUCGUCAACACUUAGCCAAUAGGAGACAAUGUCGUUCGUCGAUUCGUCGACUCUCUGAAUCAGUCAGCAAGGCUCGUCGGCCGCCAUAAGAAAUACUUGUGUAUAUCGUUUGACAAAUAUAGGUUAUAGUGAAGAAUAGCUGGAUGUAGAUUAUUAAAACAGAAGAAAAAAAUUUCACCAGAUACUGCAAGAAAUAAUGCACAAGAGACAGUAAUGUUGCUUUGUAAUACGUGUGUGCACGCAGUAAAACUAUAAUAGUAGUAUUAGCAGUGCGACAUAUUUUAUUAUAUUUCACAACAAGAAGAGGAGCAUAAACAUCAUCAAUAAAAGAUCUUUGAUUGAUCUAAGCAGCUACAUUCAUUCCAAUAAGAGGAAACUAAAGGAUGAAUUGCUUAUUUCAUGAAGUAAAUAAUUUGCUGACAAAGCAACAAUAGUUUGGUGCUCUUCAAAAAUGGGAGCUGCUGCUGCGAAAUUCUAGUAUUUUAUCUGAAGGAAGGAUAUUUGGUAGUAAUUAUUAGAAUACCACAAGAAGAAUCGUGCAAUUAUUACAGGUAAUACGAUAAAGUUUGACAGGUAUAGUGAAAUUGGUCGGUUGAAAUAUACUACGAUCUGACAGAGUGUGCAACGGAAGGAAUUAAGUGAGCUAUACAUAAUGUUUGUAUGAAAAUUAUGAUUUCUAUUUUUAUUUUAAGUUCUGCGUUAAUUUGAAACUAAAAUAUGGUUUGUAUGUGUUACAGAUAAAUUGAAGCAUAAGAUGAUGAUGAGCAGUGUGCAUAACAAAUUUGCUGGUAUUUGUAUUAAUUCAUGAAUUGAAUGAAUAAAUGUUUGUAAUUAAUAAAUUAAUGUCAUAUGAAAUAUAUAUAUACCCAC